AGGGGCGUAGCCAAGCGGUAAGGCAGCAGGUUUUGAUCCUGCCAUGCGUUGGUUCGAGUCCAGCCGCCCCUGCCA
rnacentral:tRNA from 1 species